rnacentral:rRNA from 1 species
UACGUAGGGGGCGAGCGUUGUCCGGAGUUACUGGGCGUAAAGGGCAUGCAGGCGGUCCGACACGUUUUGUGUGACAGCGGGUGGCUUAACUACCCGAGGAUGCGAAAGACGGUUGGACUUGAGGACUCGAGAGGGACACGGAAUUCCGGGUGGAGUGGUGAAAUGCGUAGAGAUCCGGAGGAACACCGAAGGCGAAGGCAGUGUCCUGGCGAGUGACUGACGCUGAGGUGCGAAAGCGUGGGGAGCAAACAGG